rnacentral:rRNA from 1 species
UACAGAGGGUGCGAGCGUUAAUCGGAAUUACUGGGCGUAAAGGGCGCGUAGGUGGUUACUUAAGUCAGAUGUGAAAUCCCUGGGCUUAACCUAGGAAUUGCAUUUGAAACUGAGUAGCUAGAGUAUGGUAGAGGGAAGUGGAAUUUCCGGUGUAGCGGUGAAAUGCGUAGAUAUCGGAAGGAACACCAGUGGCGAAGGCGACUUCCUGGACCAUUACUGACACUGAGGCGCGAAAGCGUGGGGAGCGAACAGGAUUAGAUACCCGAGUAGU